UUUUCUCACUCUUCGCCUUUCUAAUUUUUUUUCCUUCAGUUAUACAAGCUUCAGUCUGUUUCCUUUGUUGAUUUGUACCACUUUUGUAUUCAUCACUUAAAUUCAUCGGUUCUUGAUGUCGUGUCAAUUUUUUUGACAGGAGAAAUUGAAGUUUCGGCUGAAUUUCUCUGCCACCCAAAGUCUCCGCAGCAUCUAACCGCAAAUUAAAGCUGGUGAUGAUAUCUAAGCUUUUCAAUGCUUCAACAACUUCGUCAAUUAGGUGGUAAAGUGAGUUGCUGUUGAAUUUCUAGAAGAUUAAGAGAAAUAAGGAGAGAUUCGGUGAUGAGAGUUAAGUUACGGUGGAGAAAACUGUGAUGGAGUGAAUGAAUGAAAGGUCUUCAAAUGCACAUAAGAUUUUACUGAAGUUCAUAUGGGAAUAAAAAAGCAAGGAUUGCGAGGCAACUGCUUGACAAUAUUGUGGGUAGCUCAUAUUGCCAGGUUAAAGAGAAAAGUUUCAACAAGCUUUAAACUUUGUUGCCGUGAGUUGCUCAUUUCAAGCAUUAUGUUGAUGUUGUGAUUGCUGGAUAGAGAUAGCUGAAGAACACCAGGUUGCAACUCCAUCUUUUGUUCUUUGGAUGAGAAAGUCAAUUAUGUCAUGAUAAAGAAAUGAACCUUAGGUAGGAUUAAAAUCAUAAAGGAAGGAUCAAAGGAUCAAUCGCCUUCACACCCUAGACUUGACAAACAAGAAAUUACGGUUAUAACAGAGGAGAUGCAAACAAAGAUGGAGAAACUUCAAGAUGACAAGAAUAACAUAAAGCAUCAACAUGAAGUGUCAGCUAAGUGUGCCAAUGUAUUGGAUUCCCUUGAGUUCUUAGAUAAGGCUAUCAAGAGUUCAAUGCCGGCAAAACGUUCCACUUCUGUAAUUUUUAUGUGAUUUGCAUUGCAUCUGUAUGAUGCAUGUAGUAAUAUCUAUAUAAAAAUUUAUUAACGUUAUGCUCUGUACACUCUCAAGUGUUUGGUGGCUUAACACCAUAUAACAACUCGAUCAACCAUCAUAUUAGUAUUUAUUUGUUCGACGUA